CCUCCUACGGGAGGCAGCAGUGAGGAAUAUUGGUCAAUGGACGAAAGUCUGAACCAGCCAUGCCGCGUGCAGGACGACGGCCCUACGGGUUGUAAACUGCUUUUAUAUGGGAAUAAACCCUCGAACGUGUUCGAGGCUGAAGGUACCAUACGAAUAAGGAUCGGCUAACUCCGUGCCAGCAGCCGCGGUAAUACGGAGGAUCCAAGCGUUAUCCGGAUUCAUUGGGUUUAAAGGGUCCGCAGGCGGGAUAACAAGUCAGUGGUGAAAGCCUCCAGCUCAACUGGGGAAUUGCCAUUGAUACUGGUAUUCUUGAGUAUAGUUGAAGUGGGCGGAAUGAGUCAUGUAGCGGUGAAAUGCAUAGAUAUGACUCAGAACACCGAUUGCGAAGGCAGCUCACUAAACUAUUACUGACGCUCAGGGACGAAAGCGUGGGGAGCAAACAGGAUUAGAUACCCUGGUAGUCCACGCUGUAAACUAUGAUCACUCGCUGUUGGCGAUAUACUGUCAGCGGCCUAGCGAAAGCAUUAAGUGAUCC
rnacentral:rRNA from 1 species